rnacentral:rRNA from 1 species
UACGGAGGGAGCUAGCGUUGUUCGGAAUUACUGGGCGUAAAGCGCACGUAGGCGGCUUUGUAAGUUAGAGGUGAAAGCCCGGGGCUCAACUCCGGAACUGCCUUUAAGACUGCAUCGCUUGAAUCCAGGAGAGGUGAGUGGAAUUCCGAGUGUAGAGGUGAAAUUCGUAGAUAUUCGGAAGAACACCCAGUGGGCGAAGGCGACUCGCUGGGACGGUAUUGACGCUGAGACGCGAAAGCGUGGGGAGCA